rnacentral:rRNA from 1 species
UAAUACGGAGGUGGCGAGCGUUGUUCGGAAUCACUGGGCGUAAAGGGCGCGUAGGCGGGCGAGGAAGUCGUGUGUGAAAGCCCCGGGCUCAACUCGGGAACGGCGCGCGAGACUCCUCGUCUUGAGUCCCGGAGAGGCGGGUGGAAUUCCUGGUGUAGCGGUGAAAUGUGUAGAGAUCAGGAGGAACACCGGUGGCGAAGGCGGCCCGCUGGACGGAGACUGACGCUGAGGCGCGAAAGCGUGGGGAGCAAACGGGAUUAGAUACCCCGGUAGUCCACGCGGUAAACGAUGAGGGCUAGGUGUGGGGGGUAUCGACCCCCUCCGUGCCGAAGCUAACGCAUUAAGCCCUCCGCCUGGGGAGUACGGCCGCAAGGUUG